AUUGAACGCUGGCGGCAUGCCUUACACAUGCAAGUCGAACGGCAGCACGGGAGCAAUCCUGGUGGCGAGUGGCGAACGGGUGAGUAAAGUAUCGGAACGUGCCCAGUCGUGGGGGAUAACGUAGCGAAAGUUACGCUAAUACCGCAUAUGAUCUAUUGAUGAAAGCGGGGGAUCUCAAGAACUCGCCCGAUUGGAGCGGCCGAUAUCAGGGUAUGUAGUUGGUGGUGUCAGGGCUCACCAAGCCGACGAACUGUGGCUGGGUUGAGAGGACGGCCAGCCACACUGGGACUGAGACACGGCCCAGACUCAUACGGGAGGCAGCAGUGGGGAAUUUUGGACAAUGGGCGAAAGCCUGAUCCAGCCAUGCCGCGUGCAGGAUGAAGGCCUUCGGGUUGUAAACUGCUUUUGUACGGAACGAAAAGGUUUGGCCUAAUAAGCUGAGCUCAUGACGGUACCGUAAGAAUAAGCACCGGCUAACUACGUGCCAGCAGCCGCCGUAA
rnacentral:rRNA from 1 species